rnacentral:lncRNA from 14 species
CAGUAGAAGUUGUUAUUUCAGAAGCUGGUGAAUGACAAUAAAUUAUUGCCUGGAGACACCUGGGUCACCUGGAAAACAUUUUCCUAGAAGCAGGAGACAAUAGAUUAUCCUUUGGAACAUCUCCAGGAGGAUGGCUGCUAGAAGAACAUGAUCUUUUGGAAGUAAAUGGCAGAGAGCAGUGAAGGUUGAAAAGGAGAUAAGCAAUCCACCUUACUUUGUAAUCCCAGUACUGAAUUUGGGAAAAAAAAUGCAAGCAGGAAGAGUCUGGGCUGAGGAAACCAGUGACCAUGAAGCUCAGUAUGGAUGAAGACCUCUUUUGUUCCUUCAGUGGUUGAUUAAAACUUAUCUUUUGGGGAAAACAGUUAUAUGGACUUGAUGCCUUUUUGGAGGCUUACAGCAGGACAAGCAGCUUCCCACUGCCUCUAUGGAGAUAGACACCUGCAGAAAGCAGUUUUAACUACCUUCUAGAGAGACCUUUCACUGAUUUCAUAAGAUGCCUAUCUUAGACUAAAUAAAUACCUUUCAGGCAGGUGAAGCUAGAUGAGACAAAUCUCAUCCCAGGAGCUACAACAUCAGACACAACUCUAGGUGAGGUAGCUACACCCAGAUGUAGAAGGGAUGCUGCCAGAAUUCUUCAACUCUGCACCAGUUUUCUUCUGAAUCAUCCACUAAAUAAUUUAAUUUUUCCCAGGUGUUUCAGUGUUUCCAGAAUUACAGCUACCAUUUCUUAUGCCAUUUGAGUUAUAUUGAGGAAAAACACUAUGUAAUCUCUGUGUUAAUGUUGUUGUGUAGCUAGGAAGUGUAUGUGCAACUAUGUGAUUCAUGAUAAACAGUUGUAACAAUAAGUCCUGAACCUGAAAGCUGAUAAAGCUCUCUCUCUGUGCUUUUACAUUGAUCCCUGAAUAGGAAAUGUCCAACUUCUAACCUGUGUUCUCGUAACUGCUGCCAGAUUUCAAGAAAGUACCUUGGACAAUGUGCAAAAUUGUUCUAAAUGCUCUGUUGCUAUUUCUCAACUUAUUUUAAAGGAGU